GACGAACGCUGGCGGCGUGCCUAAUACAUGCAAGUAGAACGCACAGUUUAUACCGUAGCUUGCUACACCAUAGACUGUGAGUUGCGAACGGGUGAGUAACGCGUAGGUAACCUGCCUGGUAGCGGGGGAUAACUAUUGGAAACGAUAGCUAAUACCGCAUCAUAUUAAUUAUUGCAUGAUAAUUAAUUGAAAGGUGCAAUUGCACCACUACCAGAUGGACCUGCGGUGUAUUAGCUAGUAGGUGAGGUAACGGCUCACCUAGGCGACGAUACAUAGCCGACCUGAGAAGGUGAUCGGCCACACUGGGAAUGAGGCACGGCCCAGACUCCUUCGGGGGGCAGCAGGAGGGGAACAUCGGCAAUGGACGAAAGGCUGGACGAGGAAAGCCGGGGGAGUGAAGAAGGGUUUCGGAGUGUAAAGCUCUGUUGUAAGAGAAGAACGGGUGUGAGGGUGGAAAGUUCGCACUGUGACGGUAGCUAACCAGAAAGGGACGGCUAACUACGUG
rnacentral:rRNA from 1 species